AGCGAACGCUGGCGGCAGGCUUAACACAUGCAAGUCGAGCGCCCGUAGCAAUACGGGAGCGGCAGACGGGUGAGUAACACGUGGGAACAUGCCCUUUGGUUCGGAAUAACUCAGGGAAACUUGAGCUAAUACCGGAUAAGCCCUUACGGGGAAAGAUUUAUCGCCAAAGGAUUGGCCCGCGUCUGAUUAGCUAGUUGGUGGGGUAAUGGCCCACCAAGGCUACGAUCAGUAGCUGCUGAGAGGAUGAUCAGCCACAUUGGGACUGAGACACGGCCCAAACUCCUACGGGAGGCAGCAGUGGGGAAUAUUGGACAAUGGGGGAAACCCUGAUCCAGCCAUGCCGCGUGAGUGAUGAAGGCCCUAGGGUUGUAAAGCUCUUUCGGUGGGAAGAUAAUGACGGUACCCACAGAAGAAGCCCCGGCUAACUUCGUGCCAGCCGCCGCCGUAAU
rnacentral:rRNA from 1 species